AAGAACAAAUAUGUACGGGGGCAACCACGAUCUUUAUAAAGAACAUAAGUUCCAGGAAAGCAGGAACCUUGUCUCUCUUGUUCACUGGUGAGAAAAAAGUAAUUUUCAUUCUGCUA